UUAUUAUUAUUACAAUUAUUAUUAUUAUUAUUAUUAUUAUUAUUAUUAUUAUUAUAAUUAUUUUUUUUUUGUUUCCUUUUAUAUUGUAUUCAUUCUUUUCCCGUUUUAAUUUUUUUCUCUCUUUAAGUCGCACACCUUGUGAUCUAAACACAGCAUUCACGGAAGUUUUGGCAGUGUUCUUUUGGCUCGUUCUAACGAUCGAAAGCUUUCCCAUCGUUACCGAGAUGUAUCGACCGUGCAGCAGUCCUCAAAUUCUUUCUAACUCCUUCGUAUCGAUUCGAUUCGAUUCGAUACGAUUCGAU